rnacentral:rRNA from 1 species
UUGCCUACGGGGCGCAGCAGUGAGGAAUAUUGGUCAAUGGGCGGAAGCCUGAACCAGCCAAGUCGCGUGAGGGAAUAAGGCCCUACGGGUCGUAAACCUCUUUUGCCGGGGAGCAAGGGCGGGGACGUGUCCCGGCCCGGAGAGUACCCGGAGAAAAAGCAUCGGCUAACUCCGUGCCAGCAGCUGCGGUAAUACGGAGGAUGCGAGCGUUAUCCGGAUUUAUUGGGUUUAAAGGGUGCGUAGGCGGGCUGUUAAGUCAGCGGUCAAAUGUCGGGGCUCAACCCCGGCCUGCCGUUGAAACUGGG